rnacentral:rRNA from 1 species
CAACGGCAUCGCAGGGAAGCGAAGUGCGGAACGGAUAAACGCUGAAGGCAUCUAAGCGUGAAGCCGCCCUCAAGAAGAAGAUUCCCAUUCCUAUAAGGAAGUAAGGUAACCGGAAUACUACCGGUUUAAUAGGUCAUCUGUGUAAGUAUGGUAACAUAUGUAGCUUGAUGAUACUAAUCAACCGAGGGCUUGAUUU